rnacentral:misc_RNA from 1 species
ACACCUCAACCCUCAUGGUUUGCCGUGACGGGCUUGGACUUUGGAGGUCUUGCGGGCUUAUGGCCGGCUCCUCUCAAAUGAAUUAGCUUACCGGUGUAUGGUGGCAUCACGGGUGUGAUAAUUAUCUGCGCUUGUGGUUGUCUGCCAGACAACCUCUGCCAUCGUCGGAGGUUUGCCGGAGGCUCACAAACGUCUCCCGAGUGGAGACAGCCUUCUGAAC